rnacentral:rRNA from 1 species
GAGCGAGCGGAACCAGCAGAAUCACUUCGGUGAGGACGCUGGGAAAGCGAGCGGCGGAUGGGUGAGUAACACGUGGGGAACCUGCCCUUAAGUCUGGGAUACCACUUGGAAACAGGUGCUAAUACCGGAUAAGAAAGCAGUUCGCAUGAACAGCUUUUAAAAGGCGGCGCAAGCUGUCGCUAAAGGAUGGACCCGCGGUGCAUUAGCUAGUUGGUAAGGUAACGGCCUACCAAGGCAGUGAUGCAUAGCCGAGUUGAGAGACUGAUCGGCCACAUUGGGACUGAGACACGGCCCAAACUCCUACGGGAGGCAGCAGUAGGGAAUCUUCCACAAUGGACGCAAGUCUGAUGGAGCAACGCCGCGUGAGUGAAGAAGGUUUUCGGACCGUAAAGCUCUGUUGUUGGUGAAGAAGGAUAGAGGUAGUAACUGGCCUUUAUUUGACGGUAAUCAACCAGAAAGUCACGGCUAACUACGUGCCAGCAGCCGCGGUAAUACGUAGGUGGCAAGCGUUGUCCGGAUUUAUUGGGCGUAAAGCGAGCGCAGGCGGAAGAAUAAGUCUGAUGUGAAAGCCCUCGGCUUACCCGAGGAAUUGCAUCGGAA